GAGAUGGCUCAGUCGGUAGAGCAGGAGAUUCUUAAUCUCAGGGUUGUGGGUUCGAGUCCACGUUGAGCA